GGAUCCGGCGAGGAUCCUGGUUGAAGAACCACCAGCUUCUCGAAAUUUCACAAACCUCUACCCUUUCCGCUGACUUCUCUAACCUAAAUCAAGCGUGCUGCUUCAUCCAAGAACACGAAGUUGCGGACUUUUGUAAUCGGAAUCGCCGACGAUUCCUGUGAUGUCUGGCCUCGAUGUUGGUCUCAAAUGACUCAUCAUCAUCCGAGAUACCUUCUAGGCCCAUUGCAUCAGGGAACCAAGUGCUCCAACAGUUCCAGACUCUGAUUGUGCACCGCCAACUCGCGAACCAAGUGCUAUUUCAGCACCUGCACGAGAUGAACGAAGCGAGAUGGUAUAGUUUUCUGUAAUUUUUACUAUUGCUGUAUGUAAAUGACCAGAUCGAAAUGUCUUUGAUCUCCUUACAAAUUCAGUUCCCUGACUUAUUUUCCUUUUUUCAAUUUGAAUGCAACUUUGUCCAAUCGUAUUUUCUUAUAUGGUUAGCUUCAGAAACCACUACUCCACAAUUUCAGAAAGUUAAAAUUGCCAUCUGCAUCGAAUAUAUGUAAUUUAGUUGUGAUGCGGAAGCUUGAGAGGUCAUCUAGAAAUGCAGCACUAUCUAAUUUAGUUGAUUCAAUCAAAGCAUAAAAGCAAACAACUCACAUACAGCAAUUGUAUCAAGCAACCGGUUAUUCAAUCAAAAGUUAACACAGCAAAAUGUUAACCCAAAACCCUCUCUUAUAUGGCUACAUUGAUGUCAACAACCUUUUAGUUUGUUAGUCUUCACCGGUUCGGUGGCAUCUUUGUAAUGGUCUUCCUUAUGAACCCGGUCUUCUCUCCAGAGGGUCUGCUAAGGGUCCUUUGGUCCGAAAGAGUUUCAGCAGCUAGGCAGUUGCAACACACGUUAAGUACUUCCAUGUGCCUCCUUAUGCUGGGAUUUUGUUAGACAGGUAUGUAUUUUAUCUUCAUAUACUUCAUAGUUUUAUUUAGUUUUGAUAUAUAAUCAACUAGAAACGCAUUCAGUUGAGUGAAUUCUGCAUUGUGACAUACAUGACACUGGAGUUAUGCUCUGUUUGUGAUUAAGGAUGGUUAUGUUUUCUCAUAUUUACAUUAAUACUGUGAAAUGUUGAGUAAAAAUCAAUUUAGGGGAACUAUAUACUGCUAGAGAUGUGCAUAUUAAUCCCGCCUAAAGUAAAAUUUAGAAAUCUGGCAUAGUGAAGAUCCAAUAGAGAAUAUGAGAAACCCAACUUAAUUUUAUGAAUUUGUUUUGGUGCCUACAAAUGAAAUCCGGCAUAGUGAAAGUUUGUGUACCGAAAUUAUCACAAAUUUUCCUUCAUCUUUAGAUUUUCAUUCAAUUCAAUUCAUAUGCAAUUUAGUGUGAUUCAAUUCAUAAGUGAUCAAAUGCUGUUUUUAAUUUCCUUCUUCUUUUGAUUUUCGGUUCAACCUUGUCGUACAAAAUGAAGGAGACGUCAUUAACGGAGUUACAGAUUUGGGUGUCUUUUGUGGAAACAAAACUGGAUUGUUUUAACUUUGUAUAGUUGUAAACAUAAAACAAUCUCUGGGAUACAGCCAUAGCUUUUGAAAGACAAUCCUUUAGGAUGGCAUACCAGCAUUCCCAAUUUUUUCCAUGUAAUAUAUGAACGUAAAUAGCACUUCCUUAACACAUGGAUGUAAUAUAUGUAUAUAAAUACCGCUCUGUGGCACAUAUAUUUUUCGAGACAUCUACAUAUUCAAUAAUGUUUUCAAACUCCACAACAACGCACAGGUACUCUU